AUUGAACGCUGGCGGCAGGCCUAACACAUGCUAGUCGAGCGGAUGAAGGGAGCUUGCUCCUGGAUUCAGCGGCGGACGGGUGAGUAAUGCCUAGGAAUCUGCCUGGUAGUGGGGGAUAACGUCCGGAAACGGGCGCUAACACCGCAUACGUCCUGAGGGAGAAAGUGGGGGAUCUUCGGACCUCACGCUAUCAGAUGAGCCUAGGUCGGAUUAGCUAGUUGGUGGGGUAAAGGCCUACCAAGGCGACGAUCCGUAACUGGUCUGAGAGGAUGAUCAGUCACACUGGAACUGAGACACGGUCCAGACUCCUACGGGAGGCAGCAGUGGGGAAUAUUGGACAAUGGGCGAAAGCCUGAUCCAGCCAUGCCGCGUGUGUGAAGAAGGUCUUCGGAUUGUAAAGCACUUUAAGUUGGGAGGAAGGGCAGUAAGUUAAUACCUUGCUGUUUUGACGUUACCAACAGAAUAAGCACCGGCUAACUUCGUG
rnacentral:rRNA from 1 species